rnacentral:siRNA from 1 species
CCCUAGGUAACUCUCCAGAUGUC